AGAUUAAUUUGCAUUAAUUAUCCUUGAAAGAGAUGAGAAAUUAUUUAUCGCAUAAGUAUUUGAUUUAUUCAUUGAUAAAUCAUAAUGCAUGCCACAAUAUGGACAAGCUAUUAUAAAAUACGUGAAAAGGCUAUAACUUACCCCAAAGCUUUCACAUAAACUACACAGAAUCUUAAGUGUACUGGACAAACACUAAGCAUAUAUAUAUUUUAAGCGCUAUAACAAUAUAUCUUAGAUUCUUCGGUACGAAAUUUAAUUUCUACUAAUUCUCAAGAUAAUAAAUCACCGUUCAUCAUGUGGAAACAAGAGGAAUAAUGAGGACAACGACGAUAAUCUCGUAUAAGUACAAUGUUUAUUAAUAAUAAGUGAUGUGCACAUAAAAAAUUACAGUAUACUGAAAUACUGACGGAUCGCAUUCCCGGCCCAUGGACACACAUCAUAAAUGUUAAAAUAAUACAUGAAUCGAUCGCGGAAAAAAGAUAGGAGAUAGCACGUAAUCGUUUACGUUUUUUAUUUUUACACAUCGUAAAUUCUCACGAAAAAUAUGUCGCGUUUCUAGGUUACCAUAUUGUAAAGAGCAUUUUUAUGAUAUAACAUCACAAUCUAACAAUAAAUAAAGGAAUAUGAAGAGAAUGCAUCUGUAACAGAGAAAGAAUAACAAGAGCUUUUACUACUUGUCCACGUUUAUUAUAUUGCUUAUUUGA